rnacentral:lncRNA from 10 species
UGUGACUGAGGCUGGCCCUGGGCUGGGGCUGAGUGAGAGGGGAGGACUUCAUUCACAGGGAUUCCCAACUGUGGUAGGCAGAACAGUGGCCUCCAAAAUGUUUAGGACCAAUCCUGGUAACCUGGGAAUAAGUUAGCUGCAAGGCAAGGGGAAUUAAGUUCCCAGAUGGAAUUAAGGUUGCUAAUCAGCUGACCUUAAAAUAGGGAGAUGAUUCUGAAUUCCCAAACACUAACAUCAGUGUUCUAUUAGGAAAUACAGGAAGAUGGCCAUGAGCCAUGGGACGCCAGCAGCCACUAGCAGGUGAAAAACGCAAGAAAAUGGCUUCUCCCCGGAGCCCUGAGAAAGAACACAGCCCUGCCACCACCUUCAUUUUAGCUCAUGGAUACUUGUGUCACAUCUCUAGCCUACAGCACACUCUGCUCUGUAUCUCUGGGGACCUCAUGUGCCUUAUUUUAGUGGAGAAAAUGGAGUCUGAAGACUGGUGUCUGAAUGGAACCCUGCAUGGGGCCUAUGUGACACUCUAGGGACAAAAAAAGCAGAGUACCCAAAGUCCAUACAACCUCCUCCAGCUCGGCGUCUACAUCUACUCUGAGCUUCUCAAUCACAUUCAACAACACAGAACCUCCUCGGAUCCCCUUCAGACAAAUGUGAGCUCCAGAAUCCUUCACUGCAGGGCCAUGUGCUCCAGAAGUGUUGGCUGUUGUGCUGCAGACACCUAGGGCAUGGAAACAGGAAACAUGAGUAUUUCCUCAGCAAGAACAAAUGAGAGAACCACAGAACUUUCUAUUUUAGUAAAAUUUAUCCAAUAUACUCCCUUGAUUUUAGGAAUAAAG